GUGCCUGGUAGUGCUACACCGUCAGAGUGAAUCUUCGACUACGGAUCAGAAGGUUUGGGGUUCGAAUCCCUACGGGCGCGCCA
rnacentral:tRNA from 1 species